rnacentral:rRNA from 1 species
AUUGAACGCUGGCGGCAGGCCUAACACAUGCAAGUCGGACGGUAGCACAGAGAGCUUGCUCUCGGGUGACGAGUGGCGGACGGGUGAGUAAUGUCUGGGGAUCUGCCCGAUAGAGGGGGAUAACCACUGGAAACGGUGGCUAAUACCGCAUAACGUCGCAAGACCGAAGAGGGGGACCUUCGGGCCUCUCACUAUCGGAUGAACCCAGAUGGGAUUAGCUAGUAGGCGGGGUAAUGGCCCACCUAGGCGACGAUCCCUAGCUGGUCUGAGAGGCUGACCAGCCACACUGGAACUGAGACACGGUCCAGACUCCUACGGGAGGCAGCAGUGGGAAAUAUUGCACAAUGGGCGCAAGCCUGAUGCAACCAUGCCGCGUGUAUGAAGAAGGCCUUCGGGUUGUAAAGUACUUUCAGCGGGGAGGAAGGCGGUGCGGUUAAUAACCGCGCCGAUUGACGUUACCCGCAGAAGAAGCACCGGCUAACUCCGUGCCAGCCGCCGCCGUAA